rnacentral:sRNA from 1 species
UAUUCGUGCAUCUUCGGUCUCUUUGCCC